rnacentral:rRNA from 1 species
GCUAAUCUUAAGCCCCUGCAAGCAACAAAACAACUAUUUUCUGUAUUAACCAAAACAUUUAUUCUUCCUAGUAUAGGCGAUAGAACAGACAACCAGGCGCAAUAACAAAAGUACCGUAAGGGAAACAUGAAAGACCGAUCAAUAGCACCACAAAGCAAAGAUUAAACCUUCUACCUUUUGCAUAAUGAUUCAGCUAGUCUAACCGGACAAAAAGAAUUUAGCCCGUCUUCCCGAAAUUAAGUGAGCUAUUAUAAAACAGCUUAUCUAGAGCCAACUCAUCUAUGUAGCAAAAUAGUGAGAAGAUUUUAUACUAGAGGUGAAAAGCCUACCGAACUUAAGGAUAGCUGGUUAUCCAAAACAUGAAUUUUAGUUCAACUCUAAACUUUAUUAAAGUCAUAAGAUACAUAACUUAAGUUUAGAAGUUAAUCAAAAGAGGGACAACUCUUUUGAUUACGUAAACAAACUUCUUCAGAGGAUAAUGAUUAUUACAUUUCCAUCGUGGGCCUAAAAGCAGCCACCAAUUAAGAAAGCGUUAAAGCUCAAACCCAAAACACCCUUAAUUCCUUUAAUAAAUCAAAUUCCCUGUCAUAACAUUGGAUGAUUCUAUACAAUUAUAGAAGCCAUAAUGCUGAAAUCAGUAACAAGAAUCCUUUCUCCUAGCACAAGCCUACAUUAGCAACGGAAACACCACUAACAAUUAACAAAACCAUAAUAAUAAUCCAACAACUAGCUAAUUAUUAUCCCCAUUGUUAACCCAACACAGGAGUGCUCUCCAGGAAAGAUUAAAAAGAAUAAAAGGAACUCGGCAAACACAAACCCCGCCUGUUUACCAAAAACAUCACCCUCUAGCAUCAUAAAUAUUAGAGGCAACGCCUGCCCAGUGAGUCCCACUUCAACGGCCGCGGUAUCCUGACCGUGCAAAGGUAGCAUAAUCACUUGUCCCUUAAAUAGAGACUUGUAUGAACGGCAUCACGAGGGUUUAACUGUCUCUUAUUCCCAAUCAGUGAAAUUGACCUUCCCGUGCAGAGGCGGGAAUAAACAUACAAGACGAGAAGACCCUGUGGAGCUUAAGAUUAAUAGCCUACCUAUCUUCAAUCCUACCCCAAAAGGAAUAAAAUAUGAUACCCUAGACUAUAAUCUUUGGUUGGGGUGACCUCGGAGCAUAAAACAACCUCCGAAUGAUCUAACCCAGAUUAACUAAUCGAAGUGUAACAUUACCAGUAAUUGACCCAUAACUUGAUCAACGGAACAAGUUACCCCAGGGAUAACAGCGCAAUCCUAUUUUAGAGCCCCUAUCGACAAUUAGGGUUUACGACCUCGAUGUUGGAUCAGGACAUCCAAAUGGUGAAGCCGCUAUUAAUGGUUCGUUUGUUCAACGAUUAAAGUCCUACGUGAUCUGAGUCAGACCGGAGAAAUCCA